GGGUCUGUCCAUCGGUCGGGCUUCACGGUCCGUACUGGUGAGAUGGGUUCCUACCUUCUGAAUAACCGGCAUGCCAUUCAGUUGGUGCGCCGGGGAAGCAGAGCUAUUACCUUGAAAAAAUUAGAGUGCUUAAAGCAGGCUAGUGCUUGAAUAGAUUAGCAUGGAAUAAUAAAAUAGGACGGCAUGGUUCCAUUUUGUUGGUUUCUGAAUCACCGUA
rnacentral:rRNA from 1 species